rnacentral:rRNA from 1 species
ACGAACGCUAGCGGCGUGCUUAACACAUGCAAGUCGAACGGAAAGGCCCUGCUUUUGUGGGGUGCUCGAGUGGCGAACGGGUGAGUAACACGUGAGUAACCUGCCCUUGACUUUGGGAUAACUUCAGGAAACUGGGGCUAAUACCGGAUAGGAGCUCCUGCUGCAUGGUGGGGGUUGGAAAGUUUCGGCGGUUGGGGAUGGACUCGCGGCUUAUCAGCUUGUUGGUGGGGUAGUGGCUUACCAAGGCUUUGACGGGUAGCCGGCCUGAGAGGGUGACCGGCCACAUUGGGACUGAGAUACGGCCCAGACUCCUACGGGAGGCAGCAGUGGGGAAUAUUGCACAAUGGGCGGAAGCCUGAUGCAGCAACGCCGCGUGCGGGAUGAAGGCCUUCGGGUUGUAAACCGCUUUCGCCUGUGACGAAGCGUGAGUGACGGCAAUGGGUAAAGAAGCACCGGCUAACUACGUG